rnacentral:rRNA from 1 species
UACGUAGGGUGCAAGCGUUGUCCGGAAUUUAUUGGGCGUAAAGAGCUCGUAGGUGGCCUGUCGCGUCGGCUGUGAAAACUCGGGGCUCAACUCCGAGCUUGCAGUCGAUACGGGCAGGCUAGAGUUCGGCAGGGGAGACUGGAAUUCCUGGUGUAGCGGUGAAAUGCGCAGAUAUCAGGAGGAACACCGGUGGCGAAGGCGGGUCUGCUGGGCCGAUACUGACACUGAGGAGCGGAAAGCGUGGGGAGCGAACAGG